UUUUUUUUUUUUUUUUUGAGACAUAGUCCUACUCUGUCACCCAGGUUGGAGUGCAGUGGAGUGAUCUCGGCUAACUACAACCUCCACCUCCUCGGUUCAAGUGAUUCUCCUGCCUCAGCCUCCCAAGUAGCUGGGAUUACAGGCAUGUGCCACCACACCCAGCUAGUUUUUGUAUUUUUUGGUAGAGACGGGGUUUCGAACUCCUGACCUCAGGUGAUCUGCCCCGCCUCCCAAAAUUCUGGGAUUACAGGCAUGAGCCACCACCCCUGGCCCUUUCAAUUUUUUUUUUUUUUUUUUUUUUUUUUUUUUUUUUUUUUGAGACAGAGUCUCACUCCGUCGCCAGGCUGGAUUACAGUGGCACGAUCUCGGCUCACUGCAAUCUCCACCUCCCUGGUUCAGCCUCCCGAGUAGCUGGGAUUACAGGCUCGUGCCACCACACCCAGCUAAUUUUUGUAUUUUUAGUAGAGACGGAGUUUCACCAUGUUGGCCAGAAUGGUCUCGAUCUCCUGACCUCGUAAUCUGCCCACCUCGGCCUCCCAAAGUGCUGGGAUUACAGCCUUGAGCCACAGCACCCGGCCCCUUUCAGAUAUUUUUAACCAAGCUGUUCAUCUCCCUCACGAAAUGUUAAAACAAUAGAUAAACUGUAUAUCUGUUUAUGUACUGUGGCUCUUGGGAGUGGCACAAAUCAUUGUGAUAUCUAAGUCCCCUCCCAAUCUCCAAGAAUCAGUUUUCACCCUUUUGGAUGCAAUUUCACCCCUGCCAAGAAUGCACGCUAGAGCAGAAGGGAGGGACACUUCUGCCCUUGGGGUCUCUCAUCUCCUUGUCUUAGCAACCUCUAGCAGAGGUCCUGAAUUUUAAAGACGUUCUCUCCCCUUCACCUCUCCCCUCCUCUGCACCCUCUUCUAACAUACACUCUAAGCAGAUCCUGGGUCUCUGAAUUACCUCUCCAGUCUCCUCCAGCCAUUCCCAGGCAGUGGUUGGGGACCUAGAGCUGGUCAGCCUUAAGUCAAGAGAGCCUCCUACCCAGACCCAUGUGGCAUCUGUCCCUUCUCCCUAACAAAUGUGAAGUGCCUGGCCAAGGGCCAGAUGUGUAAUAGGUGCUCAAUGACAUUAUAAUCUUAUAAAAAUCUUCCUAAGCCAGAUCUCGAGUUUAGACAGCAGGGUUGGGGGGUGGAGUGGAAGAGGCUGGGAGCCUCCCUGUGGCUCCUCUGCAUCCAUCGAGGAUUGAGGAGCUAUGUGUGCUUGGCAAAGGGCAGGGGGAACUGUAAUGCUUUUGUUCAGAGCUGGUCAUUAAAGGUAACUCUGGAAACCAAGCCUA
rnacentral:lncRNA from 1 species